AUUGAACGCUGGCGUCAGGCCUAACACAUGCCAGUCGAACGAGUGACGGAAUGGUGAGUAAUGUAUGGGAACAUGCCUGAUGGAGCGUGAUACCGACGGGAAACGUUAGCUAAUACCGCAUCCCAUCAGAUGUGCCCAGAUGGGAGUAGCUUGGUGGGGGGGUAACGGCUCACCAAGGCGACGAUCCCUAGCUGGUCUGAGAGGAGGACCAGCCACACUGGAACUGAGACACGGUCGAGACUCCUACGGGAGGCAGCAGGGGGGAAUAUUGCACAAUGGGCGCAAGCCUGAUGCAGCCAUGCCGCGUGUAUGAAGAAGGCCUUCGGGUUGUAAAGUACUUUCAGCGGGGAGGCGUUACCCGCAGAAGAAGCACCGGCUAACUCCGUGCCAGCAGCCGCGGUAAUUC
rnacentral:rRNA from 1 species